AAGUUUGCGUGGGCCAAGGAUCACCUUGGAAAUCUGGAGUCUGGCAGGAGAGGCCGCGGGCUGAGGGGCUGGCUGGGGCCUGGGAGCACAGUGGGAGGGUGGCGUGGGCUCCUGGAGGCAGGGCAGCAUCGGUGUGGGGUGUGACGGGCCCCAGCUAGAGGUAGAGGGGAAAGAGGGGGGAGCCAGACAUUCAUCCCGGUCAACUUUGGUUUCAGGACGUGGCGGCUGGCGGACAAGGGGGAACUGGAGAGGGGUUCACACUGGGCCUGGGCCAUGGAGUAGCUGGCAGCCACAGGCAGAGGAGAGGAGCGACCUGCCGGGCCAGGUGAGUCCCCUUCCCCUCACCGCCUCGCUUCCAGGACCUUCUGCCAGAAGGAGGUUCCCGGGAGUGAGGACAGCGAGGAGAAGUGGCUGACCCCCGGCAGGGCCGCAGGAUGAAGGCAGAGCGUAAGCACAGGUGACACCGUCUCGGGGGGAGCUGAGACUGGGGAGGCUGGGGGGGGCUACGGGUCCACCCCAGGUAGAAAGCGCUUUGAGAGGGCAAGGCAGGACAUGAGGCAGGGCUGCCAGUGAGGGAGGGGACGGGGGCCCGCAAACCUCCAUCACUUGCGGGAACACUCCAGGCCCGGUCGGACAGGACAAGAUGAGCGGGGGACUCAAAUCACAGCAGGGUCCCCAGCCGCCACCACACCCACCGCAAUUCACUCAGGAGAAGGUUCAGAAGGAGCUCUGGCCAGGCCGCCCAGGCCGGCGCCAGAGCCUCGAGGGCAGGAGAACGAGACUGAGGGCACAGUGCGCGGGCAAGCCCGCGGCGGGACGUCACCCGGAGGGGACGGCAGUCCCAGGCGCAGGCUCCAGAGAUUUCUGCAGCGAGGAGGCUGCGGGGGCCCAACCUGUGGACGUGCCGUUCCCACGUGGCACUGUGGCCCAGCGGCUGGCGUGGGGACUGGUCACAGGUCUCUGUGUCCCUCCCCCGCACGCCUCUGGGACUGGCAAGGUAGACAGGUCAACACCAGGGGAGUCAAGGACACAGGCGAGACCAGACCAGGCGAGGCAGGCAGGGCAGCGUGAGUGAGGGGGGGAGGGAAGUCGGGGCACAGGCAGGGUGCGCGUGGCAGCCUGGCGGCAAUCCGGGAGGGGCGCUGGCCUCCAGAGCCUGUGGCCAAGGCGUGGCCGCGGGCGGUGACGGAGCGGGGAUCGGUGUCGCCGUACUCGGAUUGGAGACCAGCCAGGUCUCUAGUGGUGGUGACGUGCGUGCCAGCCACCGAAGGCCGGGCGCCAGGAGGUGCUCAGAGUGACAUGACAUGGUCCGGUGUGACGGUGAGGACAGUGAAGCCGUCCGGCCUUCCUGGACAUCUCGGCUGGAGCCGCGGGGAGCAGAGCGCCCAGCAGGUCUCUGUCUCUGUACUUUCUGGAAGGAGUCGACACAAUCUCUGCUCUCUGGACCUCUAGAAUCCUCAAGAUGACAAGAAAUGGUGCUACCCAGCUCACGCCUGGGCCUUGGACCCCGGACUUCUUCAAGUCCUUCUAGCUCUGACUCAAGAAAAUGCUGCACAUGGAACCACCACACCCCCCGACUCAGGAAUCGGCUCCAGAAGGUUAAGUCAAGGGACCGAGACCCGCCCAGCACCACCUGAAGGGAGCGGCCCCGCGGCCGCAACACCACCUCCACAGCUGCCCCUGCCCACGCUGGAGACCACCGCCAGCCCGCCCCCAUCACCACCGCACUCCCCCCCCCCACCUCCUCUUCAGACUUUUCUCUCGUCUCUUCAUUUCUUCCUUUCUCUUCUCUGUCCCUUGCUCAGUGGGCUCAGGCCCCCGGGACUCUGCUCCCCCCACCCCCGAUUCAAUUUGCACUAUUAAGUCGUUUGCACUGGUUGGGGUCCCGGACACGGCCUCGAGUUCCCUGAGCGUGUGUGUGAGCCAACUGCCGAGUGUGCCCGGCCCCUCUGGCCGGUGCCGCCCCUGCGACCCCCCACCAUCCACCCUCUGGGGGUGACCGGGGGCGGUAGAGUGUGUGGGGCCCUGCCUGCCCCCCGCCUGGUCUGGGAGCUCUGAACACCAAGAGCGACGUGAAGCAUUCCACGGUCCAUCUCGCGUGUGUCCCUCCUCACCAGGGCUUCACCAGAAGCUCUGGACUCAUCAAUAAAUCCGUUACAGCA